UACAGAGGUCUCAAGCGUUGUUCGGAUUCAUUGGCGUAAAGGGUGCGUAGGCGGCGCGGUAAGUCGGGUGUGAAAUUUCGAGGCUUAACUUCGAAACUGCAUUCGAUAACUGCCGUGCUUGAGGACUGGAGAGGAGACUGGAAUUUACGGUGUAGCGGUGAAAUGCGUAGAUAUCGUAAGGAAGACCAGUGGCGAAGGCGGGUCUCUGGACAGUUCCUGA
rnacentral:rRNA from 1 species